CCUACGGGUGGCAGCAGUGAGGAAUAUUGGUCAAUGGGCGAGAGCCUGAACCAGCCAAGUCGCGUGAAGGAUGAAGGAUCUAUGGUUUGUAAACUUCUUUUAUAUGGGAAUAAAGUGAGGAACGUGUUCCUUUUUGUAUGUACCAUAUGAAUAAGCAUCGGCGAACUCCGUGCCAGCAGCCGCGGUAAUACGGAGGAUGCGAGCGUUAUCCGGAUUUAUUGGGUUUAAAGGGUUCGUAGGUGGUUAAUUAAGUCAGCGGUGAAAGUUUGUGGCUCAACCAUAAAAUUGCCGUUGAAACUGGUUGACUUGAGUAUAUGUGAGGGAGGCGGAAUGCGUGGUGUAGCGGUGAAAUGCAUAGAUAUCACGCAGAACUCCGAUUGCGAAGGCAGCUUACUAAACUAUAACUGACGCUGAAGCACGAAAGCGUGGGGAGCAAACAGGAUUAGAUACCCUUGUAGUC
rnacentral:rRNA from 1 species